AGGGAAUUUGGUUAAAAGCCAAAACUGUAACAGCAGCUGUAAUGGGAAUUAAAUAUUAUAUAAUCAUUGGAAUUAAUUUUCUGAGAAGGAUAUAUUUAAGAUGAACCAAAGUUAGGAUACCU
rnacentral:ncRNA from 2 species